GAGAUUUCUCUGUGUCACAGCUCCAGGCCCAGAAACGCUGCAAAACCAGACAAUGCGACGCCAUGACUGACACCAGGACCAGCCGCCGUGACUCCUG